rnacentral:piRNA from 1 species
GUGCUGGACAUGACGGGCCUCUNGGAUGA